UGGGGAAUUUUGGACAAUGGGCGAAGCCUGAUCCAGCAAUGCCGCGUGUGUGAAGAAGGCCUUCGGGUUGUAAAGCACUUUUGUCCGGAAAGAAAUCCUUGGCUCUAAUACAGUCGGGGGAUGACGGUACCGGAAGAAUAAGCACCGGCUAACUACGUGCCAGCAGCCGCGGUAAUACGUAGGGUGCAAGCGUUAAUCGGAAUUACUGGGCGUAAAGCGUGCGCAGGCGGUUUGCUAAGACCGAUGUGAAAUCCCCGGGCUCAACCUGGGAACUGCAUUGGUGACUGGGCAGGCUAGAGUAUGGCAGAGGGGGGUAGAAUUCCACGUGUAGCAGUGAAAUGCGUAGAGAUGUGGAGGAAUACCGAUGGCGAAGGCAGCCCCCUGGGCCAAUACUGACGCUCAUGCACGAAAGCGUGGGGAGCAAACAGGAUUAGAUACCCUGGUAGUCCACGCCCUAAAACGAUGUCAACUAGUUGUUGGGGAUUCAUUUCCUUAGUAACGUAGCUAACGCGUGAAGUUGACCGCCUGGGGAGUACGGUCGCAAGAUUAAAACUCAAAUGAAUUGACGGGGUCAUAGCUGUUUCCU
rnacentral:rRNA from 1 species